rnacentral:rRNA from 2 species
CAUGCAGUCGAACGGCAGCACGGGAGCAAUCCUGGUGGCGAGUGGCGAACGGGUGAGUAAUACAUCGGAACGUGUCCUGGAGUGGGGGAUAGCCCGGCGAAAGCCGGAUUAAUACCGCAUACGCUCUAUGGAGGAAAGCGGGGGAUCUUUCGGGACCUCGCGCUCAAGGGGCGGCCGAUGGCAGAUUAGCUAGUUGGUGGGGUAAAGGCCUACCAAGGCGACGAUCUGUAGCUGGUCUGAGAGGACGACCAGCCACACUGGGACUGAGACACGGCCCAGACUCCUACGGGAGGCAGCAGUGGGGAAUUUUGGACAAUGGGCGCAAGCCUGAUCCAGCAAUGCCGCGUGUGUGAAGAAGGCCUUCGGGUUGUAAAGCACUUUUGUCCGGAAAGAAAACCUCUGGGUUAAUACCCCGGGGGGAUGACGGUACCGGAAGAAUAAGCACCGGCU